ACCCGUCCCGUGCGUCCCCGGACGUGGCUCUCAGCCCCGGGAACGUCGAGACUGGAGC
rnacentral:pre_miRNA from 1 species